GACGGACGCUGGCGGCGUGCUUAACACAUGCAAGUCGAACGGUAAGGCCCUUCGGGGUACACGAGUGGCGAACGGGUGAGUAACACGUGGGUGAUCUGCCCUGCACUUCGGGGUAAGCCUGGGAAACUGGGCCUAAUACCGGAUAGGUCCGCUGCCUGCAUGGCAGGUGGUGGAAAGCUUUUGCGGUGUGGGAUGGGCCCGCGGGCUAUGAGCGUGUUGGUGGGGUGAUGGCCUACCAAGGCGACGACGGGUAGCCGGCCUGAGAGGGUGACCGGCCACACUGGGACUGAGAGACGGCCCAGACUCCUACGGGAGGCAGCAGUGGGGAAUAUUGCACAAUGGGCGCAAGCCUGAUGCAGCGACGCCGCGUGAGGGGUGACGGCCCUCGGGUUGUAAACCUCUUUCAGCACCGACGAAGCGCAAGUGACGGUAGGUGCAGAAGAAGGACCGGCCAACUACGUGCCAGCAGCCGCAGUAA
rnacentral:rRNA from 1 species